GCGUCGGUGGUGCGACGGUUAGCAUACGCUCUCGGAAAGAGUGAGAUCGGGUUCGAAUCCCGGCUGACGCA